AUGUGGUGGGUCGAUCUGUCCUUUGGCGUCUUAUGUUGUGAUCCUUUCGUUGAGAGCCCUGUUCUGACGUACUUCCCGCUUCCGCCCGGCUGCGAGCUCCCGCAUCAGGAACAAUUAUCAAGAACUCGGUGUCUCGGCAUCAGUGGAAAGACCCUGCGUUUUGUGAACCUAGAGGGUACGGGCGCUUCAGUGCUUAUCAAAGCAUGGUCAUUUGUUGUGUCUGAUGCCGAGCCAGCUGGAUGGAUGCCAGAGUUUGAGCUGCCAGAAGUUGAAAUCUGGGCAGGCCAAUCAAACAGACCAUAUGGUGUUCUGUCAAGCCCCUUUGUUAGUCCAGUAGCCCCAGACUUGGUCUGCAUGCUUAAAGGAUCAGUUCUUUUCUGCGUGGACUUAAAAUCGGGACAAAAUUCUCUCGUUUAUCGGCUGCCGCCCACCCUGGAAGUAGAUGGUGCUACGGGCGUUGAGCCGCGGUUCAUGCCAUUGCAAAUGAUGUGGCGCCCAUGGGCGAUUGUGGCUUCCACGGGUGUGUGCAAUGCUCAACUGAAAGACGCGAUGCGAUUGGAGCGAUCUGCACCACCGGUCCAGAGCUGUCUGGUUUAUGGCAAUACAUGCGCGAGGAACAGGACAACGAAGUACAUGUAUCUGGCAGCGAUCGACAGAUCAGGAGCUAUGUUGAUCUGUGCUGGCAUUCAGCGCAUAGGGGAUCCUGCAAUCAAGAGGGUCUAUUUUGUGAGACAUGAUAUAACUGAGAAGUCACAUAAAAGGUUACCUGAUCUUGGCCAAGGUGCUCUGGUGCAUGGUAAUGUUGGUCUUGUCGUGGACAAAGAAGGGGUGUGUGUGGUUGCUGAGCUUGUGCGCACCAAAAACAAGAACAGUGGGCUCAUCCGGUUAUGGAGAUCAGAUGAUAAAAAGGACAAGUGGACUGAUAAGGAGGUGAACUUCCCACUGCAGGGCAGCCGGCGAUGGAAUGGAAAUGGAGCCAUCUCAUGGGGAGGGAAAAUCUGGUGGAUUGACCUGUCCCAAGGGCUGAUGUCCUAUGACCCAUUUGGUGCGAAGUCGAAGCUUUGUUACCUGGCUUUCCCUGGUGGGCAUGAAAUUGCUGAGAAUGAUAUCAACGCUUCAAUUGUAGAGAGUAGGCUGGUCAACAUUAGCUGUGGUAAGUUAUAG
rnacentral:rRNA from 1 species